AUGUCUGACUGAUGAUCGCCAAAAAUAAAAUCCAGUUGAGGGCAUCGUCAUGGAUUGUGCUAUACAUACCAAACUAAGUUUGACGGUAUUUCAUUGUUAAUGCACUAGGUGUUGGACCAGUUCGUCAUAGUUAGUUAGUUCGACAAAGUUCGUCAUAGCGCUCAGUGGUAACUGGAGUCCAUAGAUAUGACAAAGUGUAUACUAUACCAACCUUGAUGCACGACGUCGAAGCCUUCAAAGUCGUUGUGGCCUAAGGGAUACGACGUCCGGUGCAUUCGUAUGUAGCGAUGCAACGGUGUUCGAAUCCCGCAGACGGGUACCAGUUUUUCUAAUGAAAUACUUACUCAACAAAUGUUCACGAUUGACUUCCACGGUGAAGGAAUAACAUCGUGUAAUAAAAAACAUACCCGCAAAAUUAUAAUUUGCGUAAUUACUGGUGGUACGACCUCUUGUGAGUCCGCGCGGGUAGAUACCACCACCCUGCCUAUUUCUGCCGUGAAGCAGUAAUGCAUUUCGGUUUGAAGGGUGGGUCAGCCGUUGUAACUUUACUGAGACCUUAGAACUUAUAUCUCAGGGUGGGUGGCGCAUUUACGUCGUAGAUGUCUAUGGACUCCAGUAACCACCUAACGUCAGGUGGGCUGUGAGCUCGUCCACUCAUUUAAGCAAAAAAAAGAGCUGAAAACCAUGACUGCUUUGCGGCAGUCACAGCACAACGGUUCUGUCCUUGCGGGUUCACAUUCCCUUCCUUACCAGUAAUUCGGUCUCUACUAAAGUUUUGUUUAUCAGACGUUUUCUUGAGUACAAUAAUAAAUAAGUCUAAAUAAAUUAACGGUAUUGAUCAUUUAGUUUUGUCCUUAAAGGAUGUUAUUGUCUUAAUGUGGUAUAAAAGUUGUUAUACUCCUUACAGGAAAUACACAGUUUUCCUUCUAUUUAAACGAUCUGUUUUAUUUAUGUAGCCGAGAUGAAAAUAUCAGUAAUAUGUCGUUGUGUAAUAAUAUAAUUAAUUUAUUACAAGCUUUAAGGUUUUCUUCUGUCCCCAACGUAGCUCUAAUUUGUGAAUUACUAGCGGCCCGUUCCGGCUCCGCUCGGGUCUUUAACAAAAAUUUCAACGAUAAGUCGUAGUACCAUGACAUGGGGUAAAUUGGGAUCCUGGGGUAAAUUGGGACAAACCUGCGGAAGAUUCUCAAAGUACCUGUAGCACGGAAUCUACCUAAUUUUGUUUAUGUUAAUAUUUAUCAAUGUAUAGAAGAAAAACCAAGUUAACUAUGGAAGUACUAAAUAUGAGUUAAGUUGGUCCCAAAAAUUCGUCAAAUUAAAUUGAAAAUAGUGGUUGAAAAGUGCGUUUUAAAACAGCUUACAGAACUUUUAAAAAAAGUAAUAUUAUCGUUGUUUUUUCAAUAAGAUCACAGUUUAUAUAAGUUUUUAAUACACCUGGAAAUACCACAACAAACGAAUCUAUUCACGCGUCGAAUCAUGAUUUUUUUAACAUUCACAACGCACAUACAAAUAAAAACAGGCCUCAGAUUUUAAAUGUAACAUUAAUUAAAAAUCCGAGAUAUCUAGGUUCCAAUUAUGAGUGAGUGAAUUAAUUGAGUUUAGUUAUUUAGCUUAGAAAUAAUUUCUUUUAUUUUUGUUAUUAUAGGCAGUAAUCAGAUAAAUCUGCUUUUUUAUCUUAUUCACCUGAUAUCUUACUCUUGCUCAAAGAUUAUUUUGAAAAUGUUGAUUAAAUAAAAUUGUAUUAUUGC